rnacentral:snoRNA from 1 species
AAGUGGUAUCCAUUUAAAACUAAGAAGGACAAUUUGAACUUGCUACAGCAAGAAAGUCUAACCUAUUCCAGCAUUCUCCCCACUGUGAGAUAGGCUGUUAUAUAGACUGAAACAGU